UAGAAGUUACUUCGGUACAUCGGUGACAGGUGGUGCAUGGUUGUCGUCAGCUCGUGUCGUGAGAUGUUGGGUUAAGUCCCGCAACGAGCGCAACCCUCGUCCUUAGUUGCCAGCAUUCAGUUGGGCACUCUAAGGAGACUGCCGGUGUUAAACCGGAGGAAGGCGGGGAUGACGUCAAGUCCUCAUGGCCCUUAUGUCCAGGGCUACACACGUGCUACAAUGGCCGGUACAAAGGGUAGCAAGACCGCGAGGUGGAGCCAAUCCCAAAAAGCCGGUCUCAGUUCGGAUUGGAGUCUGCAACUCGACUCCAUGAAGUUGGAAUCGCUAGUAAUCGUGGAUCAGCAUGCCACGGUGAAUACGUUCCCGGGCCUU
rnacentral:rRNA from 1 species